CAGUCGCCGCGGUAAUACGAAGGGUGCAAGCGUUACUCGGAAUUACUGGGCGUAAAGCGUGCGUAGGUGGUGGUUUAAGUCCGUUGUGAAAGCCCUGGGCUCAACCUGGGAAUUGCAGUGGAUACUGGGUCACUAGAGUGUGGUAGAGGAUAGUGGAAUUUCCGGUGUAGCAGUGAAAUGCGUAGAGAUCGGAAGGAACAUCUGUGGCGAAGGCGACUAUCUGGGCCAACACUGACACUGAGGCACGAAAGCGUGGGGAGCAAACAGGAUUAUAUACCCCAGUAGUCCCUGUCUCUUAUAC
rnacentral:rRNA from 1 species